rnacentral:lncRNA from 1 species
GUCUCUCUGUCCCUCUGUCUCUCUCUCUCUGUUUCUCUGUGUGUGUGUGUGUGUGUGUGUGUGUCUCUCUCUCUUUCUGUCUCCCUCUCCAGCCCCACCCUUUCAGUCUCCUCCGGGUGCACUGAUAAGGUUGGAAAGUGGAAUGGUGGACGCUGACAGAGGCAAAAAUCUGCUAACUCAGGGGGCAGACUCAACCAAGACUGUGAGCAGGCCUGGGGAAUGACCCCCCGAUCUCCAACCAGUGCCUUCCGCAGCUGCACGGCUGUCUCCAGCUGUCUCUGCCCCUCUUCCUGGCCCUGGCUCCAUCUCUCUGUCACCUCACCCUUCCCUGUGCCACAUGGGCCCUCUCUCUCCUGCCAGGACGCUGCGGCUCUGGGGACCUCGGAGCCUGGGGGUGGCUCUGGGAGUCUUCAUGACCAUUGGCUUUGCACUCCAGCUCUUGGGAGGGCCCUUCCAGAGGAGGCUACCUGGGCUACAGCUCCGACAGCCCUCGGCCCCAUCCCUACGACCAGCCCUUCCGUCCUGCCCACCCCGGCAGCGACUGGUGUUCCUGAAGACACAUAAAUCCGGGAGCAGCUCUGUGCUGAGCCUGCUUCACCGCUAUGGGGACCAGCACGGGCUGCGCUUCGCCCUCCCUGCCCGCUACCAGUUUGGCUACCCAAAGCUCUUCCAGGCCUCUAGGGUAAAAGGCUACCGCCCACAGGGUGGAGGCACCCAGCUCCCCUUCCACAUCCU